GAAAACUGAUUGCUUUGGUUUGAGGGAGAGGAUAAAACAUCUUUUCCUGGGUUGAGGCUGGAGGACAGAAUGAGAGCCUAAAUUCUGGACCAGAGGUCUUGGUAAUAGAAAUAGAGUGGAGUCUCUAUUUCUGGAGACACUGUGCUUUUAUAGUGGAGAGCCUGUUAAUCUUGUGGUCUCCUUGAGUCAGCCUUGAACUGCAGCUUCCUAACUGCAGUAUCCUUGAUAGCCUGUGCUCUGCUGGAUUAAGUCACUGUCUUCUCUUCGACAUACAGAUGCUUCUCCUCAGGGCACAGCAGGGUGCAGUUGCUGGCAGAGCCUGUUAGCCAGGGCAGAGCAGGUCACACGUGCUGAUGAUUCUGAAGAGAAGCCACGACAGCAAAGGGAUCUUUUGAAAGCUUCAAUAGCUUGAUGAUGUUUUUUCCUGAACUAGUUGACCACUGUCACAGAAUUUUAGCCUUUGCUUGGAACCAUU